UACCAGACUCCUACGGGAGGCAGCAGUGGGGAAUAUUGGACAAUGGGGGGAACCCUGAUCCAGCGACGCCGCGUGAGUGAAGAAGUCUUUCGGUAUGUAAAGCUCUCUCAGCAGGGAAGAAAAUGACGGUACCUGACUAAGAAGCCCCGGCUAACUACGUGCCAGCAGCCGCGGUAAUACGUAGGGGGCAAGCGUUAUCCGGAUUUACUGGGUGUAAAGGGAGCGUAGACGGCAGGGCAAGUCUGGAGUGAAAGCCCGGGGCCCAACCCCGGGACUGCUUUGGAAACUGCCAUGCUAGAGUGCUGGAGAGGUAAGCGGAAUUCCUAGUGUAGCGGUGAAAUGCGUAGAUAUUAGGAGGAACACCAGUGGCGAAGGCGGCUUACUGGACAGUAACUGACGUUGAGGCUCGAAAGCGUGGGGAGCAAACAGGAUUAGAUACCCGGGUA
rnacentral:rRNA from 1 species